ensembl:lncRNA
CUCCUCUCUGUCAUUUCCACAGGUGCUUGGUGAAGUACAGAACACAGACCGCCUUCGUGUUUAUGUAACACCAAAACACUGAAUGGGAUGUAAAUACUGUCCAUGUAGGUUUCCCAGAGACUAUGGGUUGAGGAGGAAGUGGAAGUUUGUCGGCUUAGACCUGGUGUCAUUCCAUCAGUGUUAAACUUCCCGGCUCAUCUUGGAAGAGUACGUGCCAGAAAGACCACGACCAAGCAGCCUUGAGAUCUUAGACAGCGUCUCCCUGAGGUCCCUCUCUAUCUCCCCACACAUCCACCAACCACUGGAACACAUCUCCAAAGUUCUGCUGGACCAGCUCAGCUUCCCCUCAGAAGAAGUGCUGCCACCUGCCAGAUGAAGGAGCCUUUUGAGAGGCAGCUGGCAUCGUGAUUGGACUGUACUUUGGUCUGUUCCAGUCCAGCUUCAGCUCCAGAGACGGCAGGCGGGACGAGUCAACGGAGGCCUGGUGGACGAAGGCAUGCAGCUGAGUACAAUCCAGAAAACAACAGAGGAGGAGUGCAGGGCCAGAACAAACAGAGUAGCAUCGUAUGUCUCUUAGAAAACAUCAUAGUAUAGCCUUUGGGAUGAAAAAACGCCAUCAUAUACAUUGUAUAUUGUACAUAUAACAAGUCAAAGGAAAGAGACAUACAUUGUAGAAUUGUAGUAAUUGUGGGCUGACUGAUUUACUGAUUAUCAGUAUUUUAUUUUUUACUGAUUUAUGGUAAUAAAUACAUUUAAAAAUGGUGCUACUUCGGCUCUGAACCUUUAUCUACCUGUGGUCACUCUGUCUUCUGGAGUGAUUUGAUUGGUUAUACGUCACGAAUAAAACUCCUUUAACUUAACAUCUGG